rnacentral:lncRNA from 1 species
AAAAUUAUAUAUUGUUGCUAAUGUAUAUAUAGAAUUGAGCUUUUAUACUUUUAAGAGCACCAAGUCAUUAGUGCUUAUUAGUGUUCGACUUUUGGAUGAAAAUUUGUAGAGGCUAUAAUGAUAGUGGUCUCCAAGAAUUUGGUGGGUGGUAGGUGAAAUAGUAUGAUUUAAAAGGUGAAAAUGAUCAAAAGAUAGAUUGAACGGCGAAAAAUUUGCAAGCACCAAGUGUUCGAUGCUUUUAAUAGCACCAUA